UUUAAAGAGAGUUUGAUCCUGGCUCAGGACGAACGCUGGCGGCGUGCCUAAUACAUGCAAGUCGAACGAACGGAGGAAGAGCUUGCUCUUCCAAAGUUAGUGGCGGACGGGUGAGUAACACGUGGGCAACCUGCCUGUAAGUUGGGGAUAACUCCGGGAAACCGGGGCUAAUACCGAAUGAUAGAAUGUGGCGCAUGCCACGCUUUUGAAAGAUGGUUUCGGCUAUCGCUUACAGAUGGGCCCGCGGUGCAUUAGCUAGUUGGUAGGGUAAUGGCCUACCA
rnacentral:rRNA from 1 species